CCUACGGGAGGCUGCAGUGGGGAAUAUUGGACAAUGGGGGGAACCCUGAUCCAGCCAUGCCGCGUGUGUGAAGAAGGCCCUCGGGUUGUAAAGCACUUUCAGUGAGGAAGAACGCCUGGUGGUUAAUACCCAUCAGGAAAGACAUCACUCACAGAAGAAGCACCGGCUAACUCCGUGCCAGCAGCCGCGGUAAUACGGAGGGUGCGAGCGUUAAUCGGAAUUACUGGGCGUAAAGCGCGCGUAGGUGGCUUGAUAAGCCGGUUGUGAAAGCCCCGGGCUCAACCUGGGAACGGCAUCCGGAACUGUCAAGCUAGAGUGCAGGAGAGGAAGGUAGAAUUCCCGGUGUAGCGGUGAAAUGCGUAGAGAUCGGGAGGAAUACCAGUGGCGAAGGCGGCCUUCUGGACUGACACUGACACUGAGGUGCGAAAGCGUGGAUAGCAAACAGGAUUAGAUACCCUAGUAGUC
rnacentral:rRNA from 1 species